GAUGAAGAACGUAGCGAAAUGCGAUACGUAAUGUGAAUUGCAGAAUUCAGUGAAUCAUCGAAUCUUUGAACGCACAUUGCGCCCCUUGGUAUUCCGAGGGGCAUGCCUGUUCGAGCGUCAUUAUAACCCCUCAAGCUCAGCUUGGUGUUGGGGCCUGCCGCACGGGCAGCCCUUAAAAUCAGUGGCGGUGCCAUCUGGCUCUAAGCGUAGUAAUUCUUCUCGCUAUAGAGUCCCGGUGGAUGCUUGCCAUUAACCCCCAAUUUUCUAUGGUUGACCUCGGAUCAGGUAGGGAUACCCGCUGAACUUAAGCAUAUCAAUAGCGGAGGA
rnacentral:misc_RNA from 1 species